rnacentral:rRNA from 1 species
UACGGAGGGGGCUAGCGUUGUUCGGAAUCAUUGGGCGUAAAGGGCGCGUAGGCGGCCGAUCAAGUCGGAGGUGAAAUCCCUCGGCUCAACUGAGGAAUUGCCUUCGAUACUGUUCGGCUUGAGUCCUGGAGAGGGUAGCGGAAUUCCCGGUGUAGCGGUGAAAUGCGUAGAGACCGGGAAGAACACCAGUGGCGAAGACGGCUACCUGGACAGGUACUGACGCUGAAGCGCGAAAGCUAGGGGAGCAAACAGG